GAGGUGGUCGCCAUCUUGCGUACGGAGUGGUGGCUUGUUUCUCGGCUCCUGAGGGCCGGGCUUUCAGUCCCACCCGGUCUCUGUUUGUGGAAGGUCUCCGCGCUUCUUUCACCUACUUUUUUGAGGUCGAUGCAGAGCUGUGGUAUAAGAUGCCGUAUGGUGAAAUUGAAGCUAAAUCCAUAGGACAUGAGGAAGAACUAAUAAGUGAACCAUGCUCCAAGAAAUUGAAGUCUAAUGAAGAGGCAUAUGUUUUCCCCCAUCAUGGUAGUGGUAAUUUUCACAGAAAGCAAGAGAUAACUGGAAGUGAUUGGACCCCUGUAAUCAUCACUAAUGUUAGAGGACAUAGUUAUCCUCAGGAGGACAAAACCCAAACUACAGAUUUGCUGAAACCUGUGCAUGAUGGGAUGCCUAGUGACAGACCAGAUGUUAUUGAGUCUGUUGAUUCACAAGUUGUACAGGAUAUGCAUCCUCCAUUGGGAUCCACAGAUGAUGAGAUAUAUAGCACAAGUAAAGCAUUUAUAGGACCCAUUUACAAACCCCCUGAGAAAAAAAAACGUAAUGACAGGAGGAAUCAAGCAGACACUAUCAAUGGUAGAGAUGGCAAAAGAGAACAAAAGAAACAGAAAUUUAACUCCAAAAAAUCAGAGAUUGACAAUGAAUUGUUCCAGUUUUACAAAGAAAUUGAAGAGCUUGAAAAUGAAAAAGAUGAUUCAGAAAGCAGUUGUAAGGAACCCGAACCCUCUGAGAAACAACUCGUUCCAUAUUAUCAGAGCCUUGAUAAUGAUCGGUUAAAAUCUGAAGAAGAAAAGAAAAAACAUCUUAGUAAUGGCCUUCAACCACAUUGUGGUUAUCAACAGUGCAUGGUGAAUGAGCCAGGUAAAUAUCCUUGUAAUGGACAAGUAAUACCUACAUUUUGUGACAAUUCAUUUACUUCCUUCAGGCCUGAGUGGCAAGCAAUGCAUUCUUUUGUAGUACCACAAGACCCUCAUCUUCCCAGUUUUAACUAUCACUUAAAUAUUCAAAGAUUCAGUGUUCCACCAGAUCCACCAUCAAAUAUUUUCCAUGCCCAGGAUGACUUUGAGAUGCAGAAUGGAUAUUUUAUAAAUAGUUGUCAUGCUAACUGGGAUUGUUUGACUUUUAAUGAGAACAAUGAAUAUACUGACUGCAGUGAUAUUACCAGUGGUGAUCAUCCCUCUAGAAAUGACUAUAGUGUGCAAGAUGGUUAUGCAAGUAAUGGUUUCUGUGAAACCAGUGAAGGAUACUGGAAAGAUCCUUCUGUGGACGAGUGUAAUGGAACAGACAGGUUUAUAAACCAGCAGUUUCAAGAGGAAAAGUUACAUAAAUUGCAGAAGUUACUUAUUCUUUUAAGAGGUUUGCCUGGUUCUGGGAAAACAACAUUGUCUCGAAUUCUGCUUGGUCAGAGUCGUGAUGGCAUUGUGUUCAGCACUGAUGACUAUUUUCACCAUCAAGAUGGGUACAGGUAUAAUGUUAAUCAACUUGGUGAUGCCCAUGACUGGAACCAGAACAGAGCAAAGCAAGCUAUCAAUCAGGGGAGAUCGCCAGUCAUAAUAGACAACACUAAUACACAAGCUUGGGAAAUGAAACCAUAUGUGGAAAUGGCCAUAGGAAAAGGAUACAGAGUAGAGUUUCAUGAACCUGAAACUUGGUGGAAAUUUGAUCCUGAAGAAUUAGAAAAGAGGAAUAAACAUGGUGUGUCUCGAAAGAAGAUUGCUCAGAUGUUGGAUCGUUAUGAAUAUCAAAUGUCCAUCUCUAUUGUAAUGAAUUCAGUGGAACCGCCACACAAAAGCACACAAAGACCUCCUCCUUCACAGGAGAGACAGAGAGAAAGAGAUUUGAAGAAAACUGGGCACAGGUUCAGCAAAACCAGGAAGAGAAACAGAAAAAGAAGUAAAAAGCAGAACAGUCAUAAUAAAAUCAUGGAGGAAAACUCAUUUGAAACCUUAAAUUAUCUUACACCAGGAGAUCAGGACCCAUCUCAGAGUGAAGAGGAAGACUUAGAAGAGACCAAAAGGGAGUCGGAGUGUUCCUUAACUGUUGAUCUGAGAAAUGAAGUGGGAGAUUUUGUGAAUGUCCAUAAGGAUAAAAGACAGGAAGACAUGAAUUCUGAAAACAGUUUGCCAGAUGUUAUGCCUGUAGUUGAGUGGGACAGUCCACCAAAGAAUUACCUCCCUAAAGAUAAUGAUGACUUGUUUCUAAGUUUGUCAUUGAUGCCAAAUGAAAGUUCUGUUUCUUGUCCAACAGUGACUCAAAAUCUUUCCUAUGUAGCAAGUGAUGACUGUUCUGUCACAGAGGUAGAAAAGCAUAUUGAAAAUAGGAAUAUCAUGACAUUAAACACCCAGGACAAAUUUGUUGAAGCCCCAUGCUCGUUUAUGCAGGAGGGAGAGAUGGUAGAUGAGAGUUUCCUGAAUGAAACAAGUCAAUGCUAUCAAUAUACAUCCGGAACAUCAGAUAAAGUUUUAAGAAAGGAACAAGCAGUAAAUAGAACUAAAAACAAUAAUUGGGCUUUUUUCUCAAAUGAUUUGUCCGAUGGUGAUUUACAGUUGGGCUCUGAUAGACAACCCUAUUUUGGUAGCUGGCCUGAGGGGCCUUAUAAGUUUAUAUGUGAACAGAGACCAAAGAAAGAUAGACGGCAAAAGCUGGCUCAUCCUGACAGCAGGGGGCAGUUGAUCAAAUUGAUCUCCACUUCGGAAGGGCCAGGAGACAGUCCAGAAACAUUGAUAGAAGAGAAGCUAUCGAUAGAAAGUGAAGAUUUGUCAUCUCCAACUGAGAAUAUAGAGUCAGUCAUAGAAACAGAGACAAAUAUCUUUAAAAGCCACUUCUUUAAACUGGAUAUCCUGAAGAGUACCUUACAUUCAACAGAGAAUAAAAAGAGGAGGCAGAAAAGGAUUUUCAGUUUGGCACCAAACUUUAACUUACUGGCACAGAGUCAUACCAGUGUAAAAGAAAUGGGGAAAUGUGACUUGUUAACAGAAAGCCAUGGACUAAAAAUUAUUUUGGAAGAAGAAAAAGAUGAAAUUUCAGAAAUAAAUAAUGAAGAGAAUAAGCAACACAUUAUGACCUUUGAUUAUCAUCCAUCAUGGUUUUACUUUGACAUUUACUUUGACAUUGUCAAAGAUUCUCUUCUAAAUGUUGGUGGACAAUUUUAUUCUCAUUACCUGCUAUUUAAUAGAGUAAGGCAUUCUGUGUAUUUUUACAGAAAUCCCAUUCCUUCUCUUAUGCUACAGUAUCCAUCUAGCUUUUGGAAGAUAUCUUUUUCAGGCAAGAAACUGUUUUCGACUUUGAACUCUGAGAGGAGAGUAGAUGAUAAACCAAAUGAUGUAAGGUUUACAUCUUCAGAAAUUUUAAGUAGCCAGCCUGAUACUUUGUACUCUUUUGGUGUCACCUCUGAUCUGCACUCCUUAAAUAAAAGUUUUGUUGAAAAGCUAAAGACAUGGGAAGAACCUCAGCCUUUACCGUUCCUACACAGUCAGGAUAACCAAGAUUUAACAAGCCCUGACUACUUUGAUUCCCUUGAGCUACCAUUAUCACAGGAGUUUGCCUUUCAACUUGUAAAGCUUUUUGGAUCUCCUGGAGUUCCAGUGGAAUCUUUGUUGCCAGAAGACUGUGUGGUUCCCCUCGACUGGAAGACACUGAAGAUGAUCUACUUGCAGUGGAAGACAUCAGUAGAGAAAAGACAGAAGAAGAUUGGUUAAAAAAAAAUGAGAACUCCUUAAACUGUAAGUACAACUUAUUCCAGAGACCUGUAUAUGAUCAGAAGGAAAUGGAUGUUGACAUUAUUUGGUUGUAAUAGCUCAUAUGUACAAUAGAAGAGUAAAUACAAAAAAUGUAGUCUGUUACCAUAGCAACUCUGUGUGCUGUUGCACAUGUGAUGUUUUAUUUCCUUUAAAUGUAGAUCUUUUUGUGAAAUACAACAAAGCUUAGAUUGUUGCUACCAAAUUUAUUUUCCAACUUUAUUUGUUAGAAUAUAUUUUAGAGCAUUCUGUCAAUACAUAGUUUAUGAUGAAUUCUCUUCCCACCCCCCACAGAUUGAUAUGUGAUGAGGACUGGGAAUUAGGGAUAUAGGUUAUAUUUAAAUAUUAAAAGAUUCUCUAGGAAAAGAGGUAAAAUAUGUAGACAAAUGCAUGUUAUAUUUUAAACUUGACACAAACUGACAUUAAAAUAAAAACAUUGCACUUUUUUUCAAAUGCCUAAAUUAUGAAUUAAACACAGCUGCUACUAUUUCAGUAUAUAUCUGCACUUGAUAAGAAUUGAAUGUACUCUGCAUUAACCAUAUGUUUUCUCUUUUCAUUAUAACUCUUAUUUCUAAGAGUAUUCUGUGUUUCCAUUUCUCAGCUAACUAGAAACGCACAUAUGCCCAGUAAAAAUAUUUGUUUGUUUUAAACUAGGUUCUGCUGAAAGAAGGGGAAAGACUAAAGAUUUGGGAGAAAGGAACCACUAGAAAAUGUGGGAUAGAUAGAGGAGGGGAAGAGAUUCCAGAGAAAGGACAUGAACAAAUUCAUUCAGUUGUUCAGCAAGUGUUUAUUGAGUUGCCUCAGUUUAGACAUUUUUCUACACACUGAGGAUGUAGCAGUGAAAACUGGCCUCAUGGAGUUUAUGUGAGGAUUGAAGUUAGGAAGAGAGUGUUUACCUUUCCCCUCAAUGUGACACCAGGAUAAACAGCACACAAUAAGCAUGGGCAUAUUUGCCAGUGGCUAAUUUGGUGGGUCUUUUCUAUCUGCUGAUUUUGUGUCAAGGACACUUUAUGAACCAUACUUUUGAUUUUUGUGUUCAUCUUUUACAUUCAUGCUAAACUGACUGCCCUCUGUGAACCUCAUAGAGCAGGCAUCCCUAAUUAUUAGUCUUCUCUUGUUGGGAAAUUUUAUGAGUGCUGUAGCUAUGUACAGCAUUUUUAUAAUUGUAAUGAGAAUGGGCCUUUUGGUUUUGUCUUUGGCAUAAUGAUCAGUGGGCCUCAAGUGGUAAACAGAAAUUAAAAAGAAGGAAAUAGCUAGAGAAUGUGGUUGGCUCUUGGAGCCUCAAAUCCUCUGCCUGCUGGUGGCCAGAGUGUUUAUACUGCCUCACUCCUUUAAGGAGGUAGGGCAGCCUGCUGGAAAGAGGAUGGGUUCCCAUCUUGAAGCUCCUGCCGAUCCGCUAUGUGACCUUAAACAAAUUGCCUUCUCAAAGCUGCAAUUUUUUCACCUGAAAAAAAAAAAAAAAAAAAAACAGGUUUAUGAUACUAAUCUGUCAUGGGGAUAUUAAAUGAGGAUUAAAUGAAAUAACUUGUGCAAAGUUUUUGAAAAAUAAUAAGCUCUUAGUAAGGGUUAAUUCCCUUCCCCUGAGUAUCUUUGUUGGUUGCAGCUUUGAUUUGAAAUGCUCCUGGCAGAGCAACGUACUGACUUAAUAAACUUGUUAACACAUUUGCAUGAAUUAAGUGUAUUUAUUUUUAACUUUACAGUGUAAAAAAGCUGGAUCAUCAGGGAAUGGGACAUAGACCAGGCUUUGAUUUAGAAACAGAAGGUUGGGCAAAAUCCAGAGGACAGGCUCUUGAAUGAAGCGAGACCAGGCAGGGUGUGGGCACUGUGGGACUGUGAAAUUCUGGAUGCCGGGUUGGGCGGGGCGCAUAAAUAGUCAUGAGCUUGGGAAACUGAUGACAAACUCCAUUUCUGUCACCAUUCUGUCUGGACUUGUCUGGGCUUGUGUUUGUUUGCAGUUGAAUUCUCCAUCUUCCAGGUACUGUUGAAGAUCCUGAUCAUCAAGAAAGAGAGCUCGGUGCCAACCCGAAGGAUAAUGUAGAGUGUUAUAAGUCAUUGGACUGAAAUUGGUUUGAAUAAUCUGUUCAACUAUUCUGAUCAGUUUCCUGAAUACUAAUAAAAAACUCAGCAAAAGAGAGAAAUACGUUUUCAUUAUUUCUUGGCACCAGAACUAUCCAAGGAGGUGAAAGGAUGCUUUCCUGAUGUGAUGCAAUGAUAGAACAGAGAUGGGGACGAAGGUACACUUUAUAAACAAAUGCAGUUUAAAAAAAAUAUGAGAAGCAGUGGGAAGAGGGGAUUAUUAGUUAGGUUAACUAAGUAGUGAGUAAUUAGACCCCAGAGCAUACUCGCUCCACAGUGCUCUGGACCAUGGUGUUUUUAAUCAUGAGGCUAGGGCUCUCAUAAGUAAAUGCAAGGUCAAAAUAGAGAGUUUGUACUAGUCCAGGUCUGUGUGUAUGAAAAUUAGAACAUCAGGCAGGCAACAUCUCAGAUUUUUAGCUACUCAGGUCUACUUGGAGAAGCUACUGACUUUUUAUAUUUUUAGUGAUUUUUUUUUUCCUAAGGUGGUUCCUGAAUCUCUUCUCCCCAGUGCUGAGAGUCCCUGCAGUGCCUCUCUCUGAAGGUUGGGAAGAAAGAGGACGAUAUAUGCUACCUGUGUUCACGGAGACAUGACUGAGUUGACCAGCAAAGCAUUAAACACAGGAGAAACCUGUGGCAUUGCUGAAUUCUCUGGAAAGUUGCUGUUCACACACAAGACACUGAAAGGAAUUUCUGCUGGAAACUGCAGUGGAGCCACUGUGGCAGUGAGGGCUAACUGGGAGUCUGGUUUGGAAUCUCAUAAACAUGCCCUGCUUUGGAGGUGUGAUGGCGAGAGUGAGCAGUAGGAUGGCCUGGGAACUAUUCACUGGGGUGCCCUUAGCCCCUGUGGCUUGGCGGGUCCAUGAAGCUGGUGAUGGCUGAGCUCCAUCUGCCUAAGGGCAAGGCUCAACCUUGGCGGUGCAGCGAGAAGAUCAGCCACACCAGGCCCAAGCUUUUUACAGUUAUGGCUCCCUCCCCAUUCUCCUCAGGUUGCUGAGUUGCUGAACCUGUUUCCUGCCUCCCAGCUUAAAGUCAUUGAGGAGGAUACCGAUAACAUCUAGAGGAAGUACUGGAGUCAAGGAAGAAUCCUCUUUCCCAGUCUUCUUUGGGGAUAAACCUUAGGUUCUGACAAUUGCAACACGACUUUCCCAGAGCCCUGAUUUUCAGCACGGAUGAUUUUUUCUUCAGGGAAGAUGGUGCCUAUGAAUUCAAUCCUGACUUCCUGGAGGAAGCUCAUGAGUGGAACCAGAAAAGAGGUGACAGAUUCCUUUCCAAGCUCCUGGGAAAUCCUCUUGUGCACAUAGAUUGUAGCUCCUGCAAAAUGAAAAAAAAAAUUACGGAAGGAGCUUAAUCUAAAGUUCUGCCAUGUUUUCCCCUCAAACAGAAUGCCAGAGUGUAACCUCCCUAGAUUCCAGGAAAAAGAAAAUUUUUGAUAAUGGGUUCUGAAGUAGGUGUUAUUAAAGUUGUGUAAUGAGGACAUCCUGUAAUAAAAAUAACAAAAUAUGGAGUA